rnacentral:rRNA from 1 species
AUUGAACGCUGGCGGCAGGCCUAACACAUGCAAGUCGAACGGUAACAGGAAGAGCCUGGCUUCUUUUCUGCCAGGUGGCGGACGGGUGGGUAAGGUCUGGAAACCUGCCGGAUGAAGGGGGAUAACUCCUGGAAACGGUGGCUACUACCCCAUAACGCCGCAAAACCAAAGAGGGGGACCUUCGGGCCUCUUGCCAUCGGAUGUGCCCAGAUGGGAUUAGCUAGUAGGUGGGGUAACGGCUCACCUAGGCGACGAUCCCUAGCUGGUCUGAGAGGAUGACCAGCCACACUGGAACUGAGACACGGUCCAGACUCCUACGGGAGGCAGCAGUGGGGAAUAUUGCACAAUGGGCGCAAGCCUGAUGCAGCCAUGCCGCGUGUAUGAAGAAGGCCUUCGGGUUGUAAAGUACUUUCAGCGGGGAGGAAGGGAGUAAAGUUAAUACCUUUGCUCAUUGACGUUACCCGCAGAAGAAGCACCGGCUAACUCCGUG